rnacentral:tRNA from 3 species
GGCGACGUGGCCGAGUGGUCAGGCAGAGGUCUGCAAAACCUCCUACGGCGGUUCGAUUCCGCCCGUCGCCU